GGGGCUAUAGCUCAGUUGGUAGAGCGUCUCGUUCGCAUCGAGAAGGUCUGCGGUUCGAUUCCGCAUAGCUCCA
rnacentral:tRNA from 1 species